UAGAUGAUGAACAUGCACUGGGCUCUGAGCAAGCUUUUAACAGCUGGCUAAUUUGAUGCAUAUUUGCAGCCUAGAAAGCUAUGUCUGAUA
rnacentral:snoRNA from 1 species